GUCAUUCUUCUCAUGUCUGCCACCAUGUGAGACGUGCCUUUCGCCUUCCAUCAUGAUUGUGAGGCCUCCCCAGCCACAUGGAACUGUGAGUCGGUUAAAUCUCUUUCUUUUGUAAAUUGCCCAGUCUCCAGUAUGUCUUUAUAGCAGCAUGAAAACUGACUAAUACACACUACACACUGUAAAUGUUAGUCAUGGAGGAUGUGUACCAACAUGGAAGAGUGUUUACAAUGUAUCUUUAGAGAAAAGAUGGACUAUCCAAGUAUGCAUACUGGAAUUAUCAUUAGAUUACCAUACAUCUGGGUGAGGAGCAGAACAGAGACAUAAGUAACAGCAACCGUGAACCUCAGAGGCAGCCAAGGGUGAGUAUUUAUGUCUUGCUCUUGCACCUGUGGGUUGGUUGGCAUUUGGCUGAUCUUGGUGGACUUGGUCCCAACUGUGGCCUUGCUCUGUGUGUCUCUCAUUCUCCUGGGCCCACCUGGUUCUCAGGAAAUGUUCCUCCCAUAUGGAAAGUCAGAAGCUGCCAGAGAGGCAAGUGGAGCAUGCAAGACAACUGAUGGCAUAGUCUCAGAACUGACCAUGAAUACUGCUCUCCACUUUCCAUUGACCAAAGCAAGUCCAACG
rnacentral:lncRNA from 1 species